GCAUGGAAUAAAGCAGUAGCUCAUGUAUCCUUAAAUAGCCUCUUAAAGCUGAAGCCCCUUUAUUAAGCUGCAACACCUCAACACAUAACAGGACUCACAGAACACUAACGACACCGCACGACACUACACUUGUCAAUCCUCUGCACAAGGCGCCCCAGCUGAUGACGUGCCACUGAUCUGCAAAGCUCUGGGCACCAAGGGCAUUUCCCCAGGAACAGCAGACAUCAUACAGCCAUCUUGGAGAAGUGGAACACUUAAACCUUAUGGUUCGGUUUUGAGGGUUUACGGGACCAAGUGAGUGAAGUAAUCACGGAAGUGCAAAUUUGACCAUCUUCAUGUUUGGUCCAAUCAAAUAC